AAAAGGGAAAUUUGAUUUUCUAUACUUAGAAAAUCAAAAAAUUUGAUUUCUAAACCAAUAAUUUAAACCCUAAAAAAACUAUACCUUUUUUUUUCAAAACCCCAAAAAUACCCCCAAACUAAAACUAUCUCUCUUUCUCUCUCUAUCUAGCCGGUCCCAAGAAUCCCACACCCCAGGUCCGACCAUCGGACCUCUCUCUUCCCCUCUCUCUCAAAUCGCAGGAAAAAAAAAAUUAAAAGCCGGUCGGACCUUCGGGUCCGAUGGGUCCGAUGGUCGGACCCAUCGGACCCGAAGGUCCGACCAUCGGACCUCUUUCUUCCUCUCUCUCCAAAAUUGCAGAAAAAAAAAAAAAAUUUAAAAGACGGUCGGACCUUGGGGUCCGAUGGGUCCGAUGGUCGGACCCAUCGGACCCCCAAGGUCCGACCAUCGGACCUCUGUCUUCUUCCCUCUCUCAAAUCGCAGGAAAAAAAAAGUUUCAGAGACUGGGGUUGCUCUUUCGGGUUGGGGUUGGGGUCGGAGGGGUUGGGGUCGUGGUCGACGGGGGUGAGGGUGGUGAUCGGCGUUGGGGUUGACGUGGGUGGGUGAGGGUGGUUCGGGUGAGGGUGGGCGGUUGGGGUGAGAUAGAGGGAGAGAGAGAUGAUGCAGAGAGAGAGAAUAUUGUGAGGGGGGUAUUUUUGGGGUUUUGAAAAAAAAGGAAUAGUUUUUUUAGGUUUUAAAUUUUUG